GUGCUUCAGCAGCCGGAUGUUAAGGUUCUGAAAAACUACAUGAAGGUUUUUUUCCAGCAGGCCAAACUUUAAAACUGGAACUGUCAAGCGGAGCCACUUACAGACCACCAUAACGACAGAGCUUAGCAUAGGAGCUACUUUUGCACUUAAAGAAGCGUAACCACACCCAUCCUGUCUGUGGGACACGGACCCCCAACAGGAGUUACGUGGGGAUUGGCUGUCAUGUGACGUGACCACGCCCCCACACCGACCUUGGCCCAAUCAGAGUUGUGCAUGGAGGUUUAGCAACCCAGACCAGAGGCAACGUCUGCGAUUGGACGAGACGCCAUACUGUAGGUGGGGUUUGUGAGGGUGGGCGGGGCUUCAGUCCUGGACAGAAUUUCAAGGGAAAAUGCGUUUCCAUUUGAAAUACAACAAUUGUUUGGAAAUAUAACUUACAUGUUACAGAAAAUUCUAGAAUGGGUUUAAUGAAAUGUUUAUUUUUUUUUGUAUGCUAGAAAUCUGGAUUUUUCUCAAAUUUCAGCGUAAGAAGGGCCGGUUUAAGAAUAUUUCAUUGCAAAUUUUUCGUUUUUCUUUUUACUUGCAUAAAUGAAGCAUAGGUUUUAGUUUGAUGUGAUGAGGUUAACAAAUAGAAGUGCUCUUGAUGUAGGCUCAACCUGGCAAAUUGUUUGCUUUUUGGAAUGGAAAAUGUCUUUUUUUCUUUUCUUUUUUUUUUACCUUAAUUGUUCAUGAACCGCUACAUCAUCAGCAGUCCCCUCUAAUUUUCCAUAUCAUAUGGCAUUCCGAUCAAAGCUGUACUGUAACCCGUAUCGUUUCCCAACACUAAACGUUUAUCUGCUCCAUCACAGUCUCAGAUUCAGUCGUUUAAUGCCUUUGAAGCCCAUUUGAAAUAUGCAAUGUAAUGUUACGAACUGUGAAAAUACUACGAGGUGGUUUGAUCCUUGGAUCUGCAGUGUUGUGCAGCUAGCAAUUCUUUUGUUUGGAAAUGUACUUUGUGUAAAGUUUAAACUCUCAUCAGAGAGACAUUCGGUUCAUAUCUCUCUGCUUUUACGUCAGUCUCGUUAUGGCUGACAAAAUGACUGUUGACAAUCUGUUGGAUUUUUAGAGGCGCUGCACGUGUAUUAACCCUUUCAACCCUGGAUCCCACUUCAGACAGAAGCGCCCAUCAAAGGUUUGGACCUAAACGUUUCUUGGGUCUCAACAUCACAUUGGCUUUAAUCAUGAAAGGAAAAAAAGCUUAACCCAAAACAAACUGGAUGAAGCACUUUGCCAUAAGCUGACAUGUAACUUCUAACAUGAGAAUGACUGUUAAAGAUUGUUUCUCUGUCAUAACCCAUGAGACUUUGCUUCAGACGUCCUGUGAUUUGACCUGUUAAGCUCCGGUCCUGCUCGUCAGACCCACUGUGUUUAUGCCAAAAAGGAGAGAAAGACACGAAAGG